AUGUCACUUCCGGUUUCGGCGAUCAUUCAAUAUGUUCAGUGGAACGCAUCCAUGCGUUCCACCAUUGAUUUCCUAGUUCCGUGACGUCAUUUCCGGUCUCGGCCGGAUCCAUACAGGCAUACAUCUCUUUUAAGCGUCAUUGGAACGCAUAUGCGUUCCAUACUGUUUCUACUGUCCUCAAUUUCUUUAGAAAAGUAGUAUAAUUCUUGAAAAUGUCCAAAUAAAAAAUCCUUAUCAAAAAUGCUUUGAG